CUUCACCGAGCCGAGCAGCAGCGGGUCGCCGGGGUCGCGGUCCUUGCCGUAGGUGGCGUGCAGCGCCUGGGCCUC
rnacentral:antisense_RNA from 1 species